AGUGAACGCUGGCGGUAGGCCUAACACAUGCGAGUCGAACGGCAGCACAGUAAGAGCUUGCUCUUACGGGUGGCGAGUGGCGGACGGGUGAGGAAUACAUCGGAAUCUACUUUUUCGUGGGGGAUAACGUAGGGAAACUUACGCUAAUACCGCAUACGACCUACGGGUGAAAGCAGGGGAUCUUCGGACCUUGCGCGAUUGAAUGAGCCGAUGUCGGAUUAGCUAGUUGGCGGGGUAAAGGCCCACCAAGGCGACGAUCCGUAGCUGGUCUGAGAGGAUGAUCAGCCACACUGGAACUGAGACACGGUCCAGACUCCUACGGGAGGCAGCAGUGGGGAAUAUUGGACAAUGGGCGCAAGCCUGAUCCAGCCAUACCGCGUGGGUGAAGAAGGCCUUCGGGUUGUAAAGCCCUUUUGUUGGGAAAGAAAAGCAGCAGGUUAAGACCCCGCUGUUCUGACGGUACCCAAAGAAUAAGCACCGGCUAACUUCGG
rnacentral:rRNA from 1 species